rnacentral:rRNA from 1 species
GCAUAUCAAUAAGCGGAGGAAAAGAAACCAACAGGGAUUGCCCUAGUAACGGCGAGUGAAGCGGCAACAGCUCAAAUUUGAAAUCUGGCCCCAGGCCCGAGUUGUAAUUUGUAGAGGAUGCUUUUGGUGCGGUACUUUCCGAGUUCCCUGGAACGGGACGCCUUAGAGGGUGAGAGCCCCGUACGGUUGGAUACCUAGCCUCUGUAAAGCUCCUUCGACGAGUCGAGUAGUUUGGGAAUGCUGCUCAAAAUGGGAGGUAAAUUUCUUCUAAAGCUAAAUACCGGCCAGAGACCGAUAGCGCACAAGUAGAGUGAUCGAAAGAUGAAAAGCACUUUGAAAAGAGGGUUAAAUAGCACGUGAAAUUGUUGAAAGGGAAGGACUUAUGACCAGACUUUUUCUAGGCGGAUCAUCCGGUGUUCUCACCGGUGCACUUCGCCUAGUUAAGGCCAGCAUCGGUUUCCGUAGGGGGAUAAAAGCAGUAGGAAUGUGGCUCCCUCGGGAGUGUUAUAACCUAUUGUAUAAUACCUUUAUGGGGACCGAGGUUCGCGCUUCGGCAAGGAUGCUGGCAUAAUGGUCAUCAGUCACCCGUCUUGAAACACGGACCAAGGAGUCGAACAUUUAUGCGAGUGUUUGGGUGUUAAACCCUCACGCGUAAUGAAAGUGAACGGAGGUGAGAGCCGCAAGGUGCAUCAUCGACCGAUCCUGAAGUCUUCGGAUGGAUUUGAGUAAGAGCAUAACUGUUCGGACCCGAAAGAUGGUGAACUAUGCGUGGAUAGGGUGAAGCCAGAGGAAACUCUGGUGGAGGCUCGCAGCGGUUCUGACGUGCAAAUCGAUCGUCAAAUCUGCGCAUGGGGGCGAAAGACUAAUCGAACCAUCUAGUAGCUGGUUACCGCCGAA